GAGGUCAAUGUUUCGUAGCCUCAUACGGUGAGGCGAGAGCAAUUUGUGGGCUUUCUUGAUUCUGGUUUUGGGACUCGUUCCAAUGCUGACUCUGCUUUGUUACAUGUUUGUAAGUCAGGUUUUUUUUAGAGAGAUUAUCAAGCUUAUGUUGGCGGUGAACAUGGAGACUUCUUACUAUAUCGUCAAAAUAGAGGGCUGUUGUGCAUCAAUGCGGUGGUUAUCCAUCAAUUCUAAUUUCAUUUCUUUCCUCCGUUCAACCAAAUUGACUUUGUUCCAAUUCAGGAACAUGGUCAACUUUCUUUUCCAAUUUUUGCUCCAUUUGAUAAAAGACACUUUUUUCCAUUUGCGGACAUCAUCAGUGUGCUGUUCCAGAACCACCUCAGUCAUGAAUUUGAUCUGAAAUAAAACGAAAUAUCUGCUAAUGAAAAAAAAAUCAUUGUUAGGGAAGAGACAAGUUAAGCAAUAUAAUCAAGCAAAAACAUAUCUUAUUUCUUUUCCUUAAAAACUUAACAGAAAUAAUCCACGGCCUUCUUACCAUAAAUGGCCUAACGGUAAGCAAAAAAUCUGUUUACUGGUAGCGUUCGGUGCAUAAUUAUGUUUGCAUCUUGCGGGACUCGAACUGACUGAGGCAGCAUGUUGUUCGGCCUCACGUGUGCGGGCUGCCAUUACAACGUACUGCAGGAAUUAAAAUGAAUACAAAUCUUUACAUAUUAGGGAUUAAUUUCUAAUACAACAUUGAGACACGGCUCUAACACGACAUGAAUUUGUUGAGACACCUAAAUACUAAUUUGAACACGACACAAUACGAUGCAGUCAACUUGAAAUCGACACAAAUGACAAGCUUUCAUAAAUGACCAUUGGCUGCCUCCGUCUCAUUGAUAUUUUUCUCUUAAUUGACUAGAUACUUUUGAACUAUUUAGGGUAAGUUUAAUAACCAUUAUGUUUCGGAAGAUAAUUUUUUAUCAGAAAUGGUUUUUUCUGAUUCUAUUACUGGAAACAAUUUCUUAGCAAAAGAACACACUUGAUAACUAUCCAAAAUUUCUAUUCCAGGGAUAGAAAUGCGUUUGGUAAAAUUCUUAAAUUCUUUUGUUUCUUUUAAUUUUUUUAAUACUUUUAUUAUAUUUUUCUCUUUUUUCUUUUUCUUUUCUUCCUCUUUCUUCUUUGCCGUGGCCAGCGAAUGGUGGGCAAGGUUCAGUGAGCUCGCUAGAGCCUUGCCAGGCCUCGAUAGCCGACGUGAGGCUCGGCCUUGUCGGGCCACCGUCAGGCAACGCCGACUUGGAGGUGGUCCAGUGAGGUUGUCGACCCUUGUCCGGUCAGUCGCCGGCCAUAGUUGAGGCGGGCGAUCGACCAAAGGGAAGAAGAAGAAAGGGGAAGAGAAGAAGAGAAAAGAAAAGGAAAGAGAAGAAAAGAAAAAAAUAAGAACUGAUUCUAGGAAUUGUUCUCGGAGUAACAAGUUAUUUUUUUCUAUUUCUUAUUUUUGUUUCAAAUUAAUUCUUGGGAACAAAAAAUAGAUUUUUUGUUCUUGGGAAAAUAAUUUUUUUUUACCAAAAUAGGGCCUUAAUAACUUUGACGGAAUUGG
rnacentral:lncRNA from 1 species